rnacentral:rRNA from 1 species
GACGAACGCUGGCGGCGUGCUUAACACAUGCAAGUCGAACGGAAAGGCCCUGCUUUUGUUUGGUGCUCGAUUGGCGAACGGUUGAGUAACACGUGAGUAACCUUCCCUUGGCUUUGGGAUAACGUCAGGAAACUGGGGCUAAUACUGGAUAGGAGCUCCUGCUGUAUGUUGUGGGUUGGAAAGUAUCGGAGGUGGGGGAUGGACGCGCGGCUUAUCAGCUUGUUGGUGGGGUAGUGGCUUGCCAAGGCUUUGACGGGUAGCCGGCCUGAGAGGGUGACCGGCCACAGUGGGACUGGGAUACGGGCCAGACUCCUACGGGAGGCAGCAGUGAGGAAUAUUGCACAAUGGGCGGAAGCCUGAUGCAGCAACGCCGGGUGCGGGAUGACGGCCUUCGGGUUGUAAACCGCUUUCGACUGUGACGAAGCGUGAGUGACGGUAAUGGAUAAAGAAGCACCGGCUAACUACGUG